UACAGAGGGUGCGAGCGUUAAUCGGAAUUACUGGGCGUAAAGGGUGCGUAGGUGGUUAUGUGAGUUAGGUGUGAAAUUCCUGGGCUUAACCUGGGGACUGCGCCUGAUACUGUGUAGCUAGAGUACUGUAGAGGAAAGUGGAAUUUCCGGUGUAGCGGUGAAAUGCGUAGAUAUCGGAAGGAACAUCGGUGGCGAAGGCGACUUUCUGGACAGCUACUGACACUGAGGCACGAAAGCAUGGGGAGCAAACAGG
rnacentral:rRNA from 1 species